rnacentral:lncRNA from 1 species
UAUAAAUUAUAUGAAUCGAAAUUAAAAACAAUUUUAUCAUUUGAAUCAAAUUCCAGCUGACCAAGCAAAAGAGGCUCCCAUUUUUGUGCUACGCUGCAAAUUCAUCGGAUCAGCAACAACAUAAUUAAUCUUAAUUUUAGGAAUUAAAACACUUUUAUUCUAUAAAUCACUUCCCAUCCCAUCUAAUGGAGUAUAUUUAGCUGAAUUCCCAUCUCUCUUCAUCAUAUACAAGUAAACAAAGGGAAUUAAACAGGUAUUUCACUCAAAUCAGGUUCUCUUUGGUUUUGGUAUUAAAUAAAUCGGGCAUCCAAUUACAUUUGACACCCAACAAGAAAAUUUUAAAAGUUUCAGACAUCCAAGGAAGGAAUAAAGCAGCACAAGCUCUCAAGCCUGGCGACGGCGAAAGCACUUAGGCGGCCACUGCGAAUGUUUUUGAGAAACAAGCCUUUGAUUUUGUCGUCAUCAACACAUAUACAUCAAUUUAAAAACUCCUUUUCACUGAAUAUAACUGGAUUUCAAUCACAAAUUAUAUUAAAAAUGUGAAACAAUUAUAAAAAUAUAAUAAAAGGUCUCAGACAUCCAAGGAAGGAUAAAAGCAGCACAAGCUCUCAAGCCCGGCGAAAGGCGAAAGCUCUUAGGCGGCCACUGCGAAUGUUUUGAGAAACAAGCCUUACAACUUGUCAUCAUAAACCCAUAAAAAUGAAAUAUAUUAUCCUUUGACACAAUUUUAAGAAUAUCGUUUAUCAAUUGAACUGAUAAAAAAAAGGAAAAAAUAUACAACCAGAUUUCUGUGGAAGUAAUUGGAUUUUCAAGCACAAAUAAUGAAAACCAACAAUUAUAUACAAGUCAUAAAAGGUCUCAGACAUCCAAGGAAGGAAUGAAGCAGCACAAGCUCUCAAGCCCGGCGAAAAGCGAAAGCUCUUAGGCGGCCACUGCGAAUGUUUUGAGAAACAAGCCUUUGGAUUAUCAUCAUAAACCCAUACACAAGAAAUAUAUUUUCCUUUGACUAAAUUUUAAGAAUAUCGUUUAUCAAUUGAACUGAUAAAAAAAAAUAUGGAACCAAAUUUCUGAAAAAG